AUUUCCCUCAAUGUGGUAAGUGUGGUUAAAAUUGUAUCGAUGUGUUUGCAGAAAUCUGCACGAUAUCGCCUAGCUGCCGUUUUUUUUUUUUGCAUCUUUUCACGCAUCGGAAUUGUUUACAAAAGUUGUUUCACUCGAAAAAUUGUUGGUGAAAGGUACAGAAAACGAUACGAUGAUUUUGACACAAAAUGCACUAGCGGGGUUUCGCUAGUUCGCGGUUUUGCCAUUGAUAAUCAGUGUGCCGAAGAUAAAAAGAGGUGAAUGAGGUCUCUAAGACCCAGAGCCUCUAUAAAUAAACGAAAAAAAGUGUGCCGAAGUCAUCGUACCCGCCGGCAGAUGGCACUAAUCGUGAUAGAGUUAAAUGCGCAUUGUCCAGGAUGAUCGUGCCCAUAGUAGCUCCGCAAACUUUCUUGCGAUUGAUCAGUCUCCAGCAACAGUUCAAAUGCACGAUACAGUGCACACCGAUACGUCUGGUAGUCCUCUACGGGCACGCGGUCUGGACAGUGCUGACUUGUUGGAGUGUGCGACCCCUGCACAUAUUUGACAGUUCCUAUUUUUGUUCCUUGAGAACGUUCAUUUCUGUUGUGUUGGCUAUCGGGCCCUAGUUUGUUUUCAGUUGUGUUUCUUUCCGCGUCUUCUGAAAACGACGGUCGAAUCUCAACCAUAAAAUGCUUUUCUAUACUGUAAACGUGCAUUUGUUCGAAAAGCUCAAAUGUCAAAGUUUGGCAGUUGGUGUUGUGAUGCAACCUGGAGAAUUAUGAAAUAUAGAAUUCAAUUUCCGUUGAGAAGACAAAGGAGAAGCACGCACAUUUCGGCGUCUUGUGUUAUUUAGUUUAUUUUUGGAAAGUUUACAAUACAAAACAAAUAUUCAACGUUAGGUUGUUGGCCUAGGAUCGAUGGUAUUGUGCGGGUUGUGCAAGAUACUGUAAAGUUGUGUUGUGCUUAGUUGUGUCUCAAACUUGUGUGUUAGUGCAAAAAGAUCGUCACACUCUGCAGCUGUUCGAUGGGUCCAACUGUGCCGCAUGGAAGUUUUGGAUGACGAUAGGAUGUGUGGAACGCACUAGAGCGCGUAUUACAGCGGUACAGUAUUGUAAGUAAGAUGCACCUGAAGCGGUCGAGCGGCUAUCGCUUCGUUUUGAUGGCGGGACGACACAAGAAAUUCCUUUAGUUCGAUCAUUUUUUGCGGUAUUAUCCGGCGCUACCGGCGCUGUGUAGGAUGUCACUCAUUACUUACUCUAGAAUCUUCAUUUUCGAAUGUUUUAACCAAAGUCUAUAUAGGACAGAGGUCGACGCAUCCCAUACAAACUGACAGAAAGCUGUGGGAACGUUCUGGAAGUUCAGGUAGGAGGUGUUUACUGCUUUUUAGCUGGUGCUGCUGUUGGUACCGGAUCCUUAAGCACCUCCAGCUGCUAGUGUGUGAUCCUUGAAGUCUUGUUAAGACUUUUUGAGAUAAAAUUUAUCUUUUUGCACCGUGAAAACAUGCGGGGAACCUUAUUGUGCCAUGCAACUGCUUCUGUUGUUUGUAAACAAUUUUCGAUCCAAACAUUAAAAGUCGGGUGCAAAAUGCCGGACAUUUGCUAAGAUUCGACCUUUGUCCUACAUAGACCUUGGUUUUAACUGCAAUAGAAACAAUGCUCGAGGAAAAUUUAAACGGUGUAACGUCCUACCAUUACUGACCACUGUGCACAUUAGACCGGCUGUCAGUCAGAUGACAAGUAAUAUUUUGUCCACCGCGACCAGAACCAGUGUGGACCUGCCAACAGAAUAAAGCUCUCCCUUCUUCUGGCGACCUCGAGUACGACUGAACAUGAUACCGUAUGGGUAGAAACCUUCGGGUUCCUAUUUUCUUCUUUUAUUCUGAUAUUUUACCAACGUUGAAUUUGUGAAGUGUUGUUUGCUGCAUGGUGAGACGAAGAUAAAGGGUGUUCAGAUCGAUACCGUAGAGCUUAAGCAAUUGGUGUGCAGUAGAAUGGCCUGAUCGAGCUGAGUUCGAGGAUUAUCCUUUCAAAUAGUUUACCCAACGCACAGAGUAAACUGAUGGGCUGAUAGCUAGCUCUCCAGACGAGUAGGAUCUUUAGCGAGCUUGAGAAUGGGAACCACCUUUGUAACCCAGCGCAAGACACCGCAGUGUGCUCCAAGUCAGUCCAGCUUUGAUGCAGGCGGUCCAUCUGUGUUGGCGUUUCGUUCGGGAGUGGUCGACGGGUACAGCCCCAUAAACAGUGGAGUUACUCCUUCUGUUGUGAGAUGGAAUUCGCCGAUUGCUUUUGAGUUCGAUGUUGACUUGGUUGAUCACGGGCUGUGUCAUUGCUGGGCUGCUUGGAGAGCUGUACUUGUUUGUUCCAGUCCAGCCCCACAUCACAACACUACAAUAGACAACCGGAAUGAACCAACCACCAUCGAAGCCAUAGCCCCAGUAAUAGAACCGGACCAAAAAACUCACAACACACACACAGUAGAAAUUGACUCAUCUUCUCUUGGAAUAGGAGGAAAUGGCUAGUUAAUUUUGAUCAAAUGUUUUUUUUUUUUUGGUGAAUUUAAGAUUCGCAGUCAUCACACGCGGUGAUGACAAUACGGCGCAUGAGCGUAAUAAUAAAUAUAUAAAAAAAUAAAUAAAUAAAUGUUAAAGAAUCCUUCUAAACUGGGAGCCUUCAUGUUUUUCAUCCUCUCCAGCGCAUGGCGGACGUUUUCCACGGUCUUAGCAAGUGUGCACUAGCGAAUUGUGCAUUGAGCGAAUUGAGCUUCAGCUGUUAGAAUAUUUCAAAGACUUUUUUUUGCAUUCCACAUUCCAAUAGAAUAGGGAAGAUCGAAUGAUUUCUUAGCUUUAUGUUCAACCAUAACAGAAAUGAAGACUCACACAUUGACGAUAUUAUCGAACGCACGUCUCAGCAAACUGUAAACACGGCAUGGUACUUCUUGGUAGUUAAGUUCAAAGCUUAUCUGAACAGAGAUUACACUGUUCUUUCGUAGUGCCCUUCUUUCGUACUGCCCACAGUAAGCUAACAGAAGGUGUCGUAAAACCAUGUUCUUCUUUAUUUUCGAUUAUGAUGGGACGCAUCAUUUUUGCUUUUCCUCGAACCCACAAGUCAACUUGAGACCACCAACAUUAAGGUGUUAUCGGAUUCUCCGAAGAAUUAACGCCGUACCCUUAUCCAAUGAAGAGAGGAGAUAACGCAGAACAAUGUGCACGACAUACAUUUGCAGCAGAACGGGAAUCCGGAGCGCGGAAUCAAAAACGAGUCUUGAUGCUGAUAUUUUUUCUUAAUGCUCUAAUUGAUACUUGAUUUUUGAUACAUAAAGCUUUUACUGAUUUAUUGUGGAGAGGUGAAAACAUGGGCUGGUAAUGAUUGUUCGGCUUUGGUAAUGCAAGCAAUAGAGCGUUACCUUCGGUAAUAGUGCAUUUUUGCCUACCUCACAGGGUCAUACGGCUCAUAGGGGGAUAGGUAUGUUUCCUGCUACGGGGUGCGGUGUUCUCUUCUUAAAGGAACUUAAGUCGAUCACUUAAAUAUUGCUCGCUGAAAACUAUUCCACUCAACUUUCUAAUCACGCACGUAUUCGACAAUGUUUCAAGGUUUAUAUUGGAACUUUUGAUUUCGUUCUAGCUCUUACCCACUCUCCCUUCUUGGGCUAACAAGAGGGGGAGAACGGUCCGGAAUGGGAUUUGAAUCCCGGGUUCCACCUUAUGAACACCGGCGCCGUUUUCGCCUCUACCACCGGACCACCCCCUUUUUUACUGGCCUCCACUAACACAACUGUUUGCUGUUAUUGGAACGGAAUCGUUGGUUCAGCUUUCUUAGCAAACAUUCAUCGAUGUGUUGAACAUUUCCGAAAAACGUUGGGAUGUUCCAUUAUGCGAAUUACAAGCCAGAUUAUACACUGCACUACACC